rnacentral:rRNA from 1 species
UGGGGAAUAUUGUGCAAUGGGGGAAACCCUGACACAGCGACGCCGCGUGAGCGAAGUAGGCCUUCGGGUCGUAAAGCUCAAUAGUAUGGGAAGAAAUAAAUGACGGUACCAUACGAAAGCCCCGGCUAACUACGUGCCAGCAGCCGCGGUAAUACGUAGGGGGCGAGCGUUGUCCGGAAUUACUGGGCGUAAAGAGCACGUAGGCUGCUAUAAAAGUCAGAUGUGAAAAACCUGGGCUCAACCGAGGGUGUGCAUCUGAAACUAAAUAGCUUGAGUCAAGGAGAGGAGAGCGGAAUUCCUGGUGUAGCGGUGAAAUGCGUAGAGAUCAGGAAGAAUACCAGUGGCGAAAGCGGCUCUCUGGACUUGAACUGACGCUGAGGUGCGAAAGCGUGGGGAGCAAACAGG